rnacentral:rRNA from 1 species
CAGCCGCCGCGGGAAUACGAAGGGUGCAAGCGUUACUCGGAAUUACUGGGCGUAAAGCGUGCGUAGGUGGUGGUUUAAGUCCGUUGUGAAAGCCCUGGGCUCAACCUGGGAAUUGCAGUGGAUACUGGGUCACUAGAGUGUGGUAGAGGAUAGUGGAAUUUCCGGUGCAGCAGUGAAAUGCGUAGAGAUCGGGAGGAACAUCAGUGGCGAAGGCGGCCAUCUGGGACAACACUGACGCUGAGGCACGAAAGCGUGGGGAGCAAACAGGAUUAGAUACCCCAGUAGUCCCUGUCUCUUAUAC